UGAAUUUUAGUUAAACUAUAACAUUAACUCGUCAAGUUAAAAUUCAUAAAUUCAU
rnacentral:tRNA from 1 species